rnacentral:rRNA from 1 species
GAUGAACGCUGGCGGCGUGCCUAAUACAUGCAAGUCGAGCGAACAGACGAGGAGCUUGCUCCUCUGACGUUAGCGGCGGACGGGUGAGUAACACGUGGAUAACCUACCUAUAAGACUGGGAUAACUUCGGGAAACCGGAGCUAAUACCGGAUAAUAUAUUGAACCGCAUGGUUCAAUAGUGAAAGACGGUUUUGCUGUCACUUAUAGAUGGAUCCGCGCCGCAUUAGCUAGUUGGUAAGGUAACGGCUUACCAAGGCAACGAUGCGUAGCCGACCUGAGAGGGUGAUCGGCCACACUGGAACUGAGACACGGUCCAGACUCCUACGGGAGGCAGCAGUAGGGAAUCUUCCGCAAUGGGCGAAAGCCUGACGGAGCAACGCCGCGUGAGUGAUGAAGGUCUUCGGAUCGUAAAACUCUGUAAUUAGGGAAGAACAAAUGUGUAAGUAACUAUGCACGUCUUGACGGUACCUAAUCAGAAAGCCACGGCUAACUACGU